GACGAACGCUGGCGGCGUGCCUAAUACAUGCAAGUAGAACGCUGAAGGAGGAGCUUGCUUCUCUGGAUGAGUUGCGAACGGGUGAGUAACGCGUAGGUAACCUGCCUGGUAGCGGGGGAUAACUAUUGGAAACGAUAGCUAAUACCGCAUAACAGUAGAUAUCGCAUGAUAUCUACUUGAAAGGUGCAAUUGCAUCACUACCAGAUGGACCUGCGUUGUAUUAGCUAGUUGGUGAGGUAACGGCUCACCAAGGCGACGAUACAUAGCCGACCUGAGAGGGUGAUCGGCCACACUGGGACUGAGACACGGCCCAGACUCCUACGGGAGGCAGCAGUAGGGAAUCUGCGGCAAUGGACGGAAGUCUGACCGAGCAACGCCGCGUGAGUGAAGAAGGUUGUCGGAUCGUAAAGCUCUGUUGUAAGAGAAGAACGAGUGUGAGAGUGGAAAGUUCACACUGUGACGGUAUCUUACCAGAAAGGGACGGCUAACUACGUG
rnacentral:rRNA from 1 species